rnacentral:rRNA from 1 species
CAAUAGCGUAUAUUAAAGUUGUUGCGGUUAAAAAGCUCGUAGUUGGAUUUCUGCUGAGAACGACCGGUCCGCCCUUUGGGUGUGUAUCUGGCUCUUUCUUGGCAUCUUCUUGGUGAACGUUGCUGCACUUGACUGUGUGGAGCGCUACCCAGGACUUUUACUUUGAGGAAAUUAGAGUGUUUCAAGCAGGCAUACGCCUUGAAUACAUUAGCAUGGAAUAAUAAGAUAGGACCUCGGUUCUAUUUUGUUGGUUUCUAGAGCUGAGGUAAUGAUUAAUAGGGAUAGUUGGGGGCAUUCGUAUUUAACUGUCAGAGGUGAAAUUCUUGGAUUUGUUAAAGACGGACUAAUGCGAAAGCAUUUGCCAAGGAUGUUUUCAUUGA